rnacentral:rRNA from 1 species
GACGAACGCUGGCGGCGUGCCUAAUACAUGCAAGUAGAACGCUGAAGGAGGAGCUUGCUUCUCUGGAUGAGUUGCGAACGGGUGAGUAACGCGUAGGUAACCUGCCUGGUAGCGGGGGAUAACUAUUGGAAACGAUAGCUAAUACCGCAUAAUAGCAGUUGUUGCAUGAUAACUGUUUGAAAGGUGCAAUUGCACCACUACCAGAUGGACCUGCGUUGUAUUAGCUAGUUGGUGGGGUAACGGCUCACCAAGGCGACGAUACAUAGCCGACCUGAGAGGGUGAUCGGCCACACUGGGACUGAGACACGGCCCAGACUCCUACGGGAGGCAGCAGUAGGGAAUCUUCGGCAAUGGACGGAAGUCUGACCGAGCAACGCCGCGUGAGUGAAGAAGGCUUUCGGAUCGUAAAGCUCUGUUGUAAGAGAAGAACGAGUGUGAGAGUGGAAAGUUCACACUGUGACGGUAUCUUACCAGAAAGGGACGGCUAACUACGUG